rnacentral:rRNA from 1 species
GAUGAACGCUGGCGGCGUGCCUAAUACAUGCAAGUCGAGCGAACAGACGAGGAGCUUGCUCCUCUGACGUUAGCGGCGGACGGGUGAGUAACACGUGGAUAACCUACCUAUAAGACUGGGAUAACUUCGGGAAACCGGAGCUAAUACCGGAUAAUAUAUUGAACCGCAUGGUUCAAUAGUGAAAGACGGUUUUGCUGUCACUUAUAGAUGGAUCCGCGCCGCAUUAGCUAGUUGGUAAGGUAACGGCUUACCAAGGCAACGAUGCGUAGCCGACCUGAGAGGGUGAUCAGCCACACUGGAACUGAGACACGGUUCAGACUCCUACGGGAGGCAGCAGUAGGGAAUCUUCCGCAAUGGGCGAAAGCCUGACGGAGCAACGCCGCGUGAGUGAUGAAGGUCUUCGGAUCGUAAAACUCUGUUAUUAGGGAAGAACAAAUGUGUAAGUAACUAUGCACGUCUUGACGGUACCUAAUCAGAAGGCCACGGCUAACUACGUG